UAUUGCACAAUGGGGGAAACCCUGAUGCAGCGACGCCGCGUGAGCGAAGAAGUAUUUCGGUAUGUAAAGCUCUAUCAGCAGGGAAGAAGAUGACGGUACCUGACUAAGAAGCUCCGGCUAAAUACGUGCCAGCAGCCGCGGGAAUAAGUAUGGAGCAAGCGUUAUCCGGAUUUACUGGGUGUAAAGGGAGCGUAGGCGGCGUGGGAAGUCUGGUGUGAAAAACCGGGGCCCAACCCCGGGACUGCAUUGGAAACUGCCAGGCUGGAGUGUCGGAGGGGCGGGCGGGAUUCCUAGUGUAGCGGUGAAAUGCGUAGAUAUUAGGAGGAACACCGGUGGCGAAGGCGGCCUGCUGGACGACAACUGACGCUGAGGCUCGAAAGCGUGGGGAGCAAACAGG
rnacentral:rRNA from 1 species